rnacentral:rRNA from 1 species
AGUGAACGCUGGCGGUAGGCCUAACACAUGCAAGUCGAACGGCAGCACAGUAAGAGCUUGCUCUUACGGGUGGCGAGUGGCGGACGGGUGAGGAAUACAUCGGAAUCUACUUUUUCGUGGGGGAUAACGUAGGGAAACUUACGCUAAUACCGCAUACGACCUACGGGUGAAAGCAGUGGAUCUUCGGACCUUGCGCGAUUGAAUGAGCCGAUGUCGGAUUAGCUAGUUGGCGGGGUAAAGGCCCACCAAGGCGACGAUCCGUAGCUGGUCUGAGAGGAUGAUCAGCCACACUGGAACCGAGACACGGUCCAGACUCCUACGGGAGGCAGCAGUGGGGAAUAUUGGACAAUGGGCGCAAGCCUGAUCCAGCCAUACCGCGUGGGUGAAGAAGGCCUUCGGGUUGUAAAGCCCUUUUGUUGGGAAAGAAAAGCAGCAGGUUAAUACCCCGCUGUUCUGACGGUACCCAAAGAAUAAGCACCGGCUAACUUCGUG